rnacentral:tRNA from 3 species
GGUCGCUUAGCUCAGUUGGUUAGAGCGUGGUGCUAAUAACGCCAAAGUCGCGAGUUCGACCCUCGUAGUGACCA